GUGGGGAAUAUUGCGCAAUGGGCGAAAGCCUGACGCAGCGACGCCGCGUGAGGGAUGAAGGUUUUCGGAUCGUAAACCUCUGUCAGAAGGGAAGAAACUACGUUGUGCUAAUCAGCAGCGUACUGACGGUACCUUCAAAGGAAGCACCGGCUAACUCCGUGCCAGCAGCCGCGGUAAUACGGAGGGUGCAAGCGUUAAUCGGAAUUACUGGGCGUAAAGCGCAAGUAGGCUGUAGUGUAAGUCAGGGGUGAAAUCCCACGGCUCAACCGUGGAACUGCCUUUGAUACUGCACAACUUGAAUCCGAGAGAGGGUGGCGGAAUUCCAGGUGUAGGAGUGAAAUCCGUAGAUAUCUGGAGGAACAUCAGUGGCGAAGGCGGCCACCUGGACCGGUAUUGACGCUGAGGUGCGAAAGCGUGAGGAGCAAACAGGAUUAGAUACCCGGGUAGUCC
rnacentral:rRNA from 1 species